rnacentral:lncRNA from 1 species
CAGAAAGUUUCACUUAGCAGAAUACAUCAUCUGACCAUGGCGCCUGGAUAAGGACGAUGACCUGGCAGAGUGAGCUCCGGUUACGUGUGUGCAGGCUGUGAUCCCAGCGCCGCUGCCCAGUUGCCCUCCCACUCCCAAAAAAGCGUAACAGUACAUCAAAGGACAUGGCUCAGUGGAUGUUGGAUACGGAAGCUAGCUACACUUCGGGCCUCCCCAGAGAAGGGAUCCCAUGACUCGUCUCUGGAGACCAGAGAGAUAAUGGGACUGAAGACAAGUCAGUGUCAAGACAAAGACCUGGGGAUAAAUACAGCCAUUUGCACACACAGAAAUAACGCACACACAGAGAUAAAGCGAGAUUUUUCAAGUUUGUCAAUUAUUACUGGUCAAGAGUUCUGUGGGUAUGAGCAACUAUCAACUACCAAGGCUACAGACAACAACAAUAAAAAGCAACAUCCAAUGUUUAUUUAUUGCUCUGGAAGUUAAGAAAUUAAAAAAAAAAAAUUAUGUACCUGUGAAACAGAGAAAGAAAAAUAUAAAAUUGACCAUGUAUAUAGUAUGAUUCUUUGUACCCCAAUGUGCCAGUGUGUCAGAAAAGGCCAGAGCUGUGUGCAGGAGCUGAAGCUUUCUGAAGGGGCACAGAGGAAGGAGGUGAAGGUUCUCAUUUAGAGUGGAUAGCUCAUGCGCCACAGUUUGAACUUGACUUAGGGAUAAACCAAGAGCCUGCAUCUGGGAAAUGGCAUGUUUAUCUCUAAAGUAGCAGUUUGGAGGCGGAGGGAUUCCUGGCCAAGAACAAUGUCUGGCCCAUUCUAGGCACAAAAAUAAGUAUUUGUUGAUGACACAGAAGCCCUGCCUCCAAAUCAACAUUCUCACAACUCACCAAUACGAUCAAAGGAGGAAAACUCUAGAACUCCAAGAGAAACCCAUUCCCCCCCUCUUAAUCUCCAAGAGAUUAUUGUUUUCUAUUUCCAUGGUAACUAGAAGACCCCAAAUUGCCCAAAUUUGAGAGAGACUUCACAUGAAAGCCAGAAAAUAAAAAUUAACAAGAGACAAAUGUUAUGGACA